rnacentral:rRNA from 1 species
UAAUUCGAUGCAACGCGAAGAACCUUACCUGGUCUUGACAUGUACGGAAUCCUCCAGAGACGGAGGAGUGCCUUCGGGAGCCGUAACACAGGUGCUGCAUGGCUGUCGUCAGCUCGUGUCGUGAGAUGUUGGGUUAAGUCCCGCAACGAGCGCAACCCUUGUCAUUAGUUGCCAUCAUUUAGUUGGGCACUCUAAUGAGACUGCCGGUGACAAGCCAGAGGAAGGUGGGGAUGACGUCAAGUCCUCAUGGCCCUUAUGACCAGGGCUUCACACGUCAUACAAUGGUCGGUACAGAGGGUAGCCAAGCCGCGAGGUGGAGCCAAUCUCACAAAACCGAUCGUAGUCCGGAUUGCACUCUGCAACUCGAGUGCAUGAAGUCGGAAUCGCUAGUAAUCGCAGGUCAGCAUACUGCGGUGAAUACGUUCCCGGGUCUUGUACACACCGCCCGUCACACCAUGGGAGUGGGGGAUACCAGAAGUAGGUAGGGUAACCGCAAGGAGCCCGCUUACCACGGUAUGCUUCAUGACUGGGGUGAAGUCGUAACAAGGUAACCA